AUGAAGAACGUAGCGAAAUGCGAUAAGUAGUGUGAAUUGCAGAAUUCAGUGAAUCAUCGAAUCUUUGAACGCACAUUGCGCCCCUUGGUAUUCCAUGGGGCAUGCCUGUUCGAGCGUCAUUUGUACCUUCAAGCUCUGCUUGGUGUUGGGUGUUUGUCUCGCCUCUGCGUGUAGACUCGCCUCAAAACAAUUGGCAGCCGGCGUAUUGAUUUCGGAGCGCAGUACAUCUCGCGCUUUGCACUCAUAACGACGACGUCCAAAAGUACAUUUUUACACUCUUGACCUCGGAUCAGGUAGGGAUACCCGCUGAACUUAAGCAUAUCAAUAAGCGGAGGA
rnacentral:misc_RNA from 1 species